rnacentral:rRNA from 1 species
CGGGGUGCACCAGGCGCGAAACCUCUGCAAUAGGCGAAAGCCUGACAGGGUUACUCUGAGUGAUUCCCGCUAAGGGGAUCUUUUGGCACCUCUAAAAAUGGUGCAGAAUAAGGGGUGGGCAAGCCUGGUGUCAGCCGCCGCGGUAAUACCAGCACCCCGAGUGGUCGGGACGAUUAUUGGGCCUAAAGCAUCCGUAGCCGGCCACGCAAGUCCUCCGUUAAAUCCACCCGCUCAACGGUUGGGCUGCGGAGGAUACUACGUGGCUAGGAGGCGGGAGAGGCAAGCGGUACUCAAUGGGUAGGGGUAAAAUCCUUUGAUCCAUUGAAGACCACCAGUGGCGAAGGCGGCUUGCCAGAACGCGCUCGACGGUGAGGGAUGAAAGCUGGGGGAGCAAACCGGAUUAGAUACCCGGGUAGUCCCAGCUGUAAACGAUGCAGACUCGGUGAUGGGAUGGCCUCGAGCCAUCCCAGUGCCGCAGGGAAGCCGUUAAGUCUGCCGCCUGGGGAGUACGGUCGCAAGACUGAAACUUAAAGGAAUUGG